rnacentral:rRNA from 1 species
GACGAACGCUGGCGGCGUGCUUAACACAUGCAAGUCGAACGGAAAGGCCCUGCUUUUGUGGGGUGCUCGAGUGGCGAACGGGUGAGUAACACGUGAGUAACCUGCCCUUGACUUUGGGAUAACUUCAGGAAACUGGGGCUAAUACCGGAUAGGAGCUCCUGCUGCAUGGUGGGGGUUGGAAAGUUUCGGCGGUUGGGGAUGGACUCGCGGCUUAUCAGCUUGUUGGUGGGGUAGUGGCUUACCAAGGGUUUGACGGGUAGCCGGCCUGAGAGGGUGACCGGCCACAAGGGGACUAAGGUACGGCCCAGAAUCGUACGGGAGGCAGCAGGGGGGAAUAUUGCACAAUGGGCGGAAGCCUGAUGCAGCAACGCCGCGUGCGGGAUGACGGCCUUCGGGUUGUAAACCGCUUUCGCCUGUGACGAAGCGUGAGUGACGGUAAUGGGUAAAGAAGCACCGGCUAACUACGUG